CUCGACGUCUCCACCCACCCCUUCCGUCGACGUCCCACUGCAGUUCUGGAUGCUCAUUUCUAUGCUAUUUUGGUUCCUUUUUUUUACUUUUGAUUGCGUAUUUUAGAUCUCGAUUUGAUUGAUUUAAUCUCUGUAAAUGUAGUUCUGAUUGAUCUCUACUACGAUUUGGUAUUAUGGAGUAUCAUUGUACUGUGUGGUUUAGCAAAUCCGUGGUGAUUUUUAUUAUCCGCAGUUGAUUUUGGUUCAAAUGUUCAUGCGGAUCCCAAAUCGCAUCAGAUGAUGUGUCUAUUUGGAGCAUUGACUUGCUAUUUCGGAUGAUGUUGUUUUGUCUAGUUGCAGUUCUGGUAGCAAACUUUCUUGUUGGGGUUCAUAUAAAAUGCUACUAACUCCGUUUGCUAUUAUUGCUGCAGUUAUAAAUAUCAUUUCUACAUGUGCCAAUGAACUGUAAUGUUCCGGUUCAUAAAAAAAUGCUACUACCUCUGCUUGGUAUAAUACUUUACAAUGUAGGACUUUUAGUAUUGUUCUUCUCAGUUCCUGGAAAUCUUUUUAGUAUUGUUCUUCUCGGUUCCUGAAAAUCUUGACUGAUCAUCACAAAUUUUGCUGCUGUUUGGUGGCUUUAUGUACCCAUAUGUCUUCUACCAUGCGCUCAUCCUUUUUGGCAUUGGUGUAAGAUAUCUGAAUGGUGUAUAUUUUUGGAUCUAUGUAUUUUUCUCAUGGCAUCUAUUGUUAGGCUGUCAAUAGUGUAUUUUCCUAGAAUUUCUACUAGCUCUGUAUAGGUCAGCCACAUCGGCCUUGUCAUAUCCACUUUUUUAAUGGUUCUAUGUUGGAAUUUCUAUAAUUAUUUCAUGCUUCUACAUGCAAAUUUCUAUAAACUAAUUUGUUUUAUCUAUUCUUUUCUUUUCAUCAGAGAUUAAUUCAAUCUUCUUCUCCUGAUUCAAAUCAAUCUGCAAUGAAGAUUUGUUCUUUUUAAUCUCCAACUCCCUCGAAGAGUUGUUCUUUAUUCUCCAACUAGCUUCAAGGAAAAUGCUGAAUUUGGUGGGGAAACUUGUUGAGGUGAAUGUCUUUCUAAACAAGGCCCUUGCGCAGAAUUUGGAUCUAAAGGAUGGACCCACCAACACCCUAGUGUAUGCUGCUGUUGAAAAAGCAUUUCCUUCUGAGGAGGUCUUGUACAAAGUCACCCAAGUUAUUCAGAAUAUGCUUAAUAAUGGUGAUUUCAAGAUUGAUCAGAUUGCUGCUUCUGGGGAAUUUCUUGUGAAGUGCUCUUCUCCCGCUGAUGCUAACAAACUCCAUGGGAAAGUCCAAGUUUGUGAGAACACUAUGAUCGGAUUUCGAAAGAUGUCAUUUGUUUACCUUCAAGAUGAUUUGGCUAGCAGACUUAACCUCAAUGUCAGAGAUGCCAACCCUGAUGAAUGGAAAUCUGAGGUAGACAAAGAGUACUUUGAAACGCAAGAAAGAGGAAAGGGCCCAGAAGAAGGCAGAAGAAAGGAGGACUCUAAGGAUCAGAGAUGAUGGCGCUAGUUCCUCUAAGAAGAGAAAGAUGUGACUGCAGUAUGUACUUUUAUGCCACAUUCCACUUAAUGUUGGUGAUGUUAUUUGUCUUUCUGUAAUAGUGUUCCCUAUGUUCACAAGAUCUGAAUUACAAUAUGUUUUGACUAAUC